CGAAGGGGGCUAGCGUUGUUCGGAAUUACUGGGCGUAAAGCGCGCGCAGGCGGCUAUCCAAGUCAGUGGUGAAAGCCCGGAGCUCAACUCCGGAACUGCCAUUGAACUGUUUAGCUUGAGGAUGAGAGAGGUGAGUGGAAUUCCCAGUGUAGAGGUGAAAUUCGUAGAUAUUGGGAAGAACACCGGUGGCGAAGGCGGCUCACUGGCUCAUUACUGACGCUCAGGCGCGAUAGCGUGGGGAUCAAACAGGAUUAGAUACCCUGGUAGUCCACGCCGUAAACGAUGAAUGCUAGCCGUUGGGCAGCUUGCUGUUCAGUGGCGCAGCUAACGCAUUAAGCAUUCCGCCUGGGGAGUACGGCCGCAAGGUUG
rnacentral:rRNA from 1 species